AUAAAAUGUGACUGUCGAUUUUUGUACGUUUACAAAAUUGUAUAAGUCAUGAUCCAAUAAAGAUAAUAUACUAUAUGUAUAACCACAGCGUAGGGAUGGAUGCUUACGGAUGUAUAAACUAUAAAUAUAGACCUUUAGUGUGCAGUGUAUAUGUUGGACGGUAAUUGCUGGUUGACCAAUGUAUAAGCUCCAGCGGAUUAUUGAAGGUGAUUCCUCAGAAAAAGAAGUUACAGCUAAAUGUUCACCAACCAUGACCGAAUGACUGGGCGUAUGUGGCAAGUGGGGCAUGAACGACGGUUGGGGCUGUAUGAACUACCUGCUGGGUCAGUACUGGGGCUGCGUGGACCACUGGCUGGGCAACUGCUACUGGGGCAGCGUGGACAACAGCUUGAGAUACUGGUUCGUUGCCUUGUGAAAACCAGUGGUACCAGCUUAUAACUCCAAAAAAUGCUGAGAAAGGGUCCUAUUACUAUAUACACCCCAGAGUUAAGUCCAAAAUUGUAUCUUAUUUGUGAAUAUGUCGAAUAAAGAAUGUUU